GUUAUUUUCUGUGUUGGUGUUAUGUACUCAGGUGAAUAUGAUGUUUGUGAUGUUACUCUGAGUGUAUGAAGGCGAAAAGAACUUCGACAUUUCGAGCGACGAAUCCCUAUCAAUCCGAAGGUUUAUUGAAUAACAUUUUGACUAUUGUGUUACUAGGAACGUGAAACGGAAGAAAUUCAAUGUAGUCCAGCAGUAACCCAUCAAGAUAUAAAUCGAUACUAUGAGUAUUGCCCACAAAGGUGCGACAAAUGCAGAAAUGUAAUGCAGAAAUCACUUCUGAUUGUUACAGAGACCGGAGAAUCAGUUCGUACUGAUUUCGAGAUCAUGUGCUAUGGUGAACAUAUUUCCUUGUGUUUCUGGUCUGGCAAGCGGCAAAACAAAAUUGUGGUUCAAAUGAUGAAGGAGAAAUUCGUGUAACUACAACUGAGCGAAGUCAGGUAAUUAUAAUGUUGGUUUCUUUAAAUACCAAAUAAGUUGUUAUAAAAGAAGACGGUAGUAAGUUGCAUGAACAUGAUAGGAAAAUAUAAAUUUUUCGAUGUAGAUUUUUCUAAUUUACUAGGAGUACCCUAAUUUAUUAUAUAGUAGACAGUGCCAAAAAAUACACAGCGAGAUAUUUUCCAUAACUAGAUCUCCACUAGUGAAGAUAUCGAUUAAGUGUUCAUUUUC